rnacentral:rRNA from 1 species
CCUACGGGUGGCAGCAGUGGGGAAUAUUGGGCAAUGGGCGCAAGCCUGACCCAGCAACGCCGCGUGAAGGAAGAAGGCUUUCGGGUUGUAAACUUCUUUUCUGAGGGACGAAGAAAGUGACGGUACCUCAGGAAUAAGCCACGGCUAACUACGUGCCAGCAGCCGCGGUAAUACGUAGGUGGCAAGCGUUAUCCGGAUUUAUUGGGUGUAAAGGGCGUGUAGGCGGGAAAGCAAGUCAGAUGUGAAAACUCAGGGCUCAACCCUGAGCCUGCAUUUGAAACUGUUUUUCUUGAGUGCUGGAGAGGCAAGCGGAAUUCCGGGGGUAGCGGUGAAAUGCGGAGGUAUACGGAGGAACACCAGUGGCGAGGGCGGAUUGCGGGACAGUAACGGACGCGGAGGCGGGAAGGGGGGGGGGGCA